rnacentral:lncRNA from 1 species
AUGCUCCUUCCUGAAUCACUCAAUAUGUUUUAUAUUCAAGCCAGAAACAGUUCGGGUUGUAAUAAUCUAAGGAUGAAUCUAAUCGGAAGUUAUCUUGAAAUGUUGCUGAGAUGGAAGGACUGUUCAGCUAUGAAAACACAUCUGAAUGCUAUCCUCACCUCAAAAAUAAUUGCUGGAAAGUUCCUGUUCCCCAAACCAAAAAGCAGAGAGUCCAUGUGGAAUGUGUGUGUUUAGCUGCCUAUGAAAUGGGUUAUUGAGGUGAGUCCGCUGAAGAACGUAACCAUGAGUUUUAACAAGAUGUAAGGUUGCUAUCCUCGUUUCAUUGAUGCCCAAUGAUUCUAUUAUGUUCUUUAAUGGUUUGGACACCUGAGCAGGUUUUUUUUUUUUUUUUUUUUUUUUUUUUUUUGUCUUUUUAUUUAGGGCAGCACCCAAGGCAUACGGAGGUUCCCAGGCUAGGGGUUGAAUCGGAGCCAUAGCCACUGGCUACACCACAGCCACAGCAACUUGAGAUCAUGGCAACCCCGGAUCCUUAACCCACUGAGCGAGGCCAGGGAUUGAACCUGCAUCCUCAUGGUUACUAGUUAUAUUCAUUUAACUGCUGAGCCACAAUGGGAACUCCUGGACACCUGAGUUUUAAUAUUCUCUUUAUUUUAUUAUUCUGGGAUUUCUAAUCUCUAAGUUGGGGUCAAUAAAAUGUAACCAAUUACAGGAAGGUUUGUAGUGUUUUGAUAGCUCUGAUUCUUUCAUUAAUAGUAAGCUUAUUUUUUUAAAGGGGGAAAUGAAGCAAAUAUAUAAAAAAGUGAAGUCUGGUCACUCAUGGGGAAUUUGGUGUCAAUUUAAUUGACUCCUCAUUUCAUUAUGCGCCCUUAAAUUAAUCUAUUUGGGAAAAUUUUUAAACAAGUUUUGAACUAUUAAAUAAGAUUGCCUCUUCACUGGGGAAAAGAAGAUUUUGAAAUUUAAUUGCAAUGGGUUUAAUAACAGCAAAGUCCUAUCUAAUAUAUAUUUUGAAAACCUUUGAGCAUUUAUGUUCCAUUUCAUUCACACAGACUCAUUCCUGGAAAAAAUUUUCACUGUCUGGGAAAAGCAUCUUAAGACCUGGAAACCAGUGAUUUCAGAACAGUUCACGAGCCAUUCUACCGAUCCCAGCUAAUCCGGAUUCAGACCGGCCCCCAUCUUGAAUC